rnacentral:tRNA from 1 species
GGAGGGGUGUGUGAGCGGUUGAAACAGCACGCCUCGAAAGCGUGUGGACCGGAAACGGUCCCGUGGGUUCAAAUCCCACCCUCUCCG